GUGCCAGCAGCCGCGGUAAUACGGGGGGGGCAAGCGUUGUUCGGAAUUACUGGGCGUAAAGGGUCUGUAGGUGGCCAAUUAAGUCAGACGUGAAAUCCCUCAGCUUAACUGGGGAACUGCGUCUGAGACUGGAUGGCUCGAGUGCAGGAGAGGAAUGCGGAAUUCCAGGUGUAGCGGUGAAAUGCGUAGAUAUCUGGAGGAACACCGGUGGCGAAGGCGGCAUUCUGGACUGCAACUGACACUGAAAGACGAAAGCCAGGGGAGCAAACGGGAUUAGAUACCCCAGUAGUCC
rnacentral:rRNA from 1 species